rnacentral:rRNA from 1 species
UACGUAGGGUGCAAGCGUUGUCCGGAAUUAUUGGGCGUAAAGCGUGCGCAGGCGGCUUUGCAAGACAGAUGUGAAAUCCCCGGGCUCAACCUGGGAACUGCAUUUGUGACUGCAUGGCUGGAGUGCGGCAGAGGGGGAUGGAAUUCCGCGUGUAGCAGUGAAAUGCGUAGAUAUGCGGAGGAACACCGAUGGCGAAGGCAAUCCCCUGGGCCUGCACUGACGCUCAUGCACGAAAGCGUGGGGAGCAAACAGG